rnacentral:rRNA from 1 species
CCUACGGGUGGCAGCAGUGGGGAAUAUUGCACAAUGGGGGAAACCCUGAUGCAGCGACGCCGCGUGAGUGAAGAAGUAUUUCGGUAUGUAAAGCUCUAUCAGCAGGGAAGAAAAUGACGGUACCUGAUUAAGAAGCCCCGGCUAACUACGUGCCAGCAGCCGCGGUAAUACGUAGGGGGCAAGGGUUAUCCGGAUUUACUGGGUGAAAAGGGAGCGGAGACGGAAGCACAAGUCUGGAGUAAAAUGCCGGGGCUUAACCCCGGACCUGCUUUGGAAACUUUGCAGCUGGAGGCCAGGGAGGUAAGGGGAAUUCCUAGUGUAGCGGUGAAAUGCGUAGAUAUUAGGAGGAACACCAGUGGCGAAGGCGGCUUACUGGACUGUAAUUGACGCUGAGGAACGAAAGCCAGGGUAGCAAAUGGGAUUAGAUACCCCUGUAGUC